AUGACGUCAACUACCGAACCAAAAGCCGAGCAGUGGCUAUUUACUCUAAUGGAGCUGUUAUCACAUGCUGAAUUUGUGAGGAUUUCGGUGACUCUUUGGGCUAUCUGGGUAGCGAGGCGAAAAGCUAUACACGAAGGUGUUUUUCAGAGCCCACAUGCGAUCAUGUCCUUUGUAGAGAGGUACAUUGAUGAACUCGAGGUAAUCAAUGGAAAACAGGAGCCGGUAAGGACUGAACCCAGAGUGGUACAUAACAGCAACAGGAAACCCAAAGCACCUCCUACUGGCUAUGCCAAAAUUAAUGUUGAUGUGGGGUGCAGGAAAGGAAGCCAGGGGACAGCGGCAGCGGUAUGCAGAGAUAGCUCGGGGACUUUCCUUGGUAGCUCGGCUCUAGUUAUCAGAGGUGUGGAUGACCCGGCAACACUAGAGGUAAUAGCGUGCUGGGCGGGUUUGGCGUUUGCAGUUGAUCUUCACCUAAACCAAUUUGUCGUAGCGUCAGACGCGAAGGAGGUGAUGAGUGCCAUACACAACGACAGCAAGUGCGCUUAUGGAGCAAUCAUCAAGGAGAUUAGAGUCCAACAAUCUUCUUUUCAUUGUAAUUUUUGUUUUGAAGGCCGUUUGAACAAUUUAGAAGCUCAUAGAUUAGCCAAGCAUACUCUUUCUCUGGGUCCGGGGCGUCAUGUUUGGUUAGACCAACCCCAUAACCCGAAUUGUAUCCCACUACAUGUGGUUUUUAAUGAAUAA
rnacentral:rRNA from 1 species